rnacentral:rRNA from 1 species
AUUGGACAAUGGGUGGAAGCCUGAUCCAGCCAUCCCGCGUGAAGGAUGACGGUCCUAUGGAUUGUAAACUUCUUUUGUACAGGGAUAAACCUGCCCUCGUGAGGGCAGCUGAAGGUACUGUACGAAUAAGCACCGGAUAACUCCGUGCCAGCAGCCGCGGUAAUACGGAGGGUGCGAGCGUUAUCCGGAUUUAUUGGGUUUAAAGGGUCCGUAGGCGGGCCUGUAAGUCAGUGGUGAAAUCUCAUAGCUUAACUAUGAAACUGCCAUUGAUACUGCAGGCCUUGAGUACAUUUGAAGUCGCUGGAAUAAGGAGUGUGGCGGUGAACUGCAUCGAUAUUACUUAGAACACCGAUUGCUAAGGCAGGUCACUAAGAUUUAACUGACGCUGAUG